rnacentral:rRNA from 1 species
CAGCAGCCGCGGGAAUACGUAGGUGGCAAGCGUUGUCCGGAUUUAUUGGGCGUAGAGCGAGCGCAGGCGGUCAAUUAAGUCUGAUGUGAAAGCCCCCGGCUCAACCGGGGAGGGUCAUUGGAAACUGGUUGACUUGAGUGCAGAAGAGGAGAGUGGAAUUCCAUGUGUAGCGGUGAAAUGCGUAGAUAUAUGGAGGAACACCAGUGGCGAAGGCGACUCCCUGGUCUGUAACUGACGCUGAGGCUCGAAAGCGUGGGUAGCAAACAGGAUUAGAGACCCCUGUAGUCCCUGUCUCUUAUAC